CUAGCCAGCUCCACCACCCAGCUCCAUGAUCAGCGGAAUAAUACAGGUGUGGGUCGCCACACCUGACCUACUGGUGGCUCCAAUGCUGUAGACGUUUGGAACAGCGACUGGAUGGAAGUCCAAGCUUGAUUGCUAGUGGCUUUUCUUGGUCUUGGCCGAGGACGGUUUUGUGGGCAAAGUGCUUGCCGUGGACAUAAGCGUGAGGACCUGACGUCAAUCCCCAGCACCCACGUAAAAAGCCGGGCUUGGCGGCAUCCGUUGUCAUCCUAGCUGGGGUGGAAGACGAGAGGACUGCUGGCCAGUCAGCUGUGACAGACACGGUUCAAGACACGGGAGGAAGGUGUCUGAGGAAAGACACCCAAGCUGUUUCCUGACCUCCACGUGCUCACAAGUGCACCUGCACACACGCCCCUAAAAAUACCUGUGGUCUUUGCCAUUUCACUUUUCCCAUGAUGCAAAUGGUCAGUGACACGUCUGUUUCAAACACUGCCGUCUCAGCUCUCCCUCCAGCUGCCCAAGAGAGAAACUGGGAUUAACUUUGGAUCCUUCCUUAGCCCUUCCACACACUGUCUUCAUCCAUUUCUCAUUGCUAUUACAAAAGCUUCAGCGGGGCUACCUUAAGAAGGCUGGGUAUCAAGUAUGGAAUUGGGAGGGUGAGGCAGGAUGAUUGCUCUGAGCUUGAAGCCAGCCUGGGUAAGAGAUAAGUUCCAGCCUAGCCUGGGCUACAGAGUGAGACCCUGUUCCGAGCAUUUUUGUUUUUAUUUGGGACACAGCCCAGGAGGUGCAGAGUCUGAGGGCCUGACCUGCUAAAGGCCUUCAUGCUGGCCGGGUCCCAAGAUGGCGCAGAAAGAAGACUGCGUGGCAAGAAACAGCGGGUCCGUGCAGGUCUGAUCUCGCCCCCUCUGCCUCUAAAGUCACCGGGACUCAAUCACACAGGCUCACCCUAGUGGCCUUGCCCCGUCACCUCUUACAGGCCACAUCCCUGAAUACCACAGUAGGGUUUCUUCUUAUCACUCAACACCUAACAAUGGGGACCAGACUUCAGUUCAAAGGACAAACCACAGCCUCCAACCGCUGUAUCUUGUCCACUUUGUAUUCUCCACGUUUCUCGAGUUACUUUGUCUUUUCCAGGAUUGUGACCACUAUCCUAUGAGACGCUAUUUAGUAUUUAUUUAAGAGGUGCUCUUGCAGUAGCCUCCUAGCUAACACUUUUGCUCCAUGAACUUGCCCUCCUCCAGGCUAUCCAAAGUGUAGUUAGCCUGUUCAAGGGGAGAUGAAAGGCUCUACCAGAAGGGGACUGUGGUCUGGCAGCCUUGUCGCUGACACAGGGCUCGGGGACAAAAACCCAAACUGUAUGUAACACAAGGGCUUCAAGUGGUGAGUUGGCUGUUGGAAUGCUGUGGCAUAGGCAGCUCCAGCUGCCCCCAUGUGUGGGGUGAGGGGGGGAGUGCAGAGUGGAAGUCCUCAUGAAUACAGUCACUAUGGCCACCAGGAGCAUGUGUGAGAGCGAGAUGGUCACUAGGGAGACAAUGGAGCUGAAUCUGGGCAUAGCAAAUGAGGGAACAUGGCUGGACUUGGUAGCUCAUAUUCAAAGCAAAGACUCUGGAGGAAUGUGGUCCAGCAAGAGAGAAAGGAAAGACAGAAGCAUGGCAUGGGCAGAAAUACUGAAAAGUUGUUGUUUACAAGCGCUUUAAUAAGAGACAGGAUUACCUGCUGCAACACAUUUGCAUGAACAUGCACACAUCACCACCACCACCACCAUCAUUAACACCAUCACUACCACCACCACCACCAUCACCAUCAAUAACACCAUCACUACCACCACCACCACCACCAUCAUUAACACCAUCACUACCACCACCACCACCAUCACCAUCAAUAACACCAUCACUACCACCACCACCACCACCAUCAUUAACACCAUCACUACCACCACCACCACCAUCACCAUCAAUAACACCAUCACUACCACCACCACCACCAUCAUUAGCACCAUCACUACCACCACCACCACCAUCACCAUCAAUAAUACCAUCACUACCACCACCACCACCACCAUCAUUAACACCAUCACUACCACCACCACCACCACCACCAUCAAUAACACCAUCACUACCACCAUCACCACCACCACCAUCAAUAACACCAUCACUACCAACACCAACACCAAUAACAUCAUCCAUACCACCAACACCAACAUCAUCACUACCACUACCACCACCAUCAAUAACACCAUCAUUACCAACAACAACAACAACCACCAUCAUGUUGCCAUCACCACGGCGACCAUCACUCUAUCACCACCUUCAUUUUCACCCUCAGCACCACCCUGACCCUGCAAGCAGCUCCAGGCAGGUGUGGGUCCCCCUCACGUUCACGCUCCCCACAAGUGCUUUGUCAUCAGAAACAGACCCGGAGCCUACAGCCUCUCCACAGAGCUGGAGAGUCAGGGCCAUCUGUCCUGUCAGCAUGAGUUUUAAAUUUCAGGAAGUCAUCAGAGGCAAGAGUGUGUGGCUCUCCUGUCACUCUCCCUGCCAAGCCCGCCCCUCUGUGCCCAUGGAAACAAUGACUGUGGGCACACACUUCCUGAGGCCGGCGAAACAAGUGAUUUUAGGGACAGCUGCUGUUGGUAGGGGGAACAAAAGAAUGCAGGAGUAGAGAGAAUCAAAAGAGACAGUUAUGAAAUAAUAGGAAAAUUCCUCCUUCCUACGCCACAUCUUCUGGGGAGCGGAGGAGGGGAGUCAUGUCUCUGACAAGCUGCUGUCAGGACUGCCCUGGGUGCCAUGUUCACAUGCCAAGCACUCACUUAGGGCCCAGCUCUGGCUGCUAAUGGGUCACUGGGUUAAGUGUGCUAAGAGCACAGCAGGCACAACUGAGCAGAUUCACGUGUAGAGGAGCAUCUGACAGAGCGCGGACAUGCUAGCUAAUAGACAUCGGGGAGCGAAAGAUGGCAGUAUCUUAGUGUGCGAGCAAGGUGGAUAUUUGGCCAUGUUCUGGCAGACCCGGACAGAGUAGAGAGGAAUGGUCGUGGGGUAGGUAACUCUUUCCUUUCAUAGGUCACCCUGGACAGCUUUGAAAGGUUCCACGUGUGACUGUCCCGACCCCAGAGCCUAGAUGUUUCCGAGCAAUUCAGAGCUGAUCUUGUUCCUCACACUGGAAGCCUCUGAGUCCUCAUCCGAAAUGAAUCUCAGCUGAACUGCUACUCAAAAGCCUAAAAGCUUAACCAGGCUCUAGUUCCUGGUCCUCAUGCCUUAUAUACCUUUCUGCUUCCUGCCAUCACUUCCUGGGAUUAAAGGCAUGUGGCUUUGAACUCACAGAGAUCCGGAUGGCUCUCUGCUUUCGGAAUGCUAGGAUUAAAGGCAUGUGUGCCACCAUUUUCUGGCCUCUAUAUCUAGUGGCUGUUCUGUUCUCUGACCCCAGAUAAGUUUAUUAGUGUUCACAAUAUAUUGGGGAACACAAUAUCACCACAAAACAGAUCUCCCAAGCCUGAGCUUUGGGGCCAAGCUUUGGUCCCAGGCUCUGCAGGCGGGGAGGGGAAGACAAAAGGGACACAGUCCUUCCCCCUUGGAGUCUAUGAAUCAAACAAGCUGUCCUAGUUCGCUUUGACUGUCAACUAAACACAGUCACCCUGGGAAUCGAGUCUCAGUUGAGGGACUGUCCACAUCAAAUUGGCCUGUGUGCAUGGUCUAUGGGGCAGUGUGUUGGAUGUCCAUCAAUGGAGGAGGACCCAGCCCACUGUGGGCAGCACCAUUCCUAGGCUGCAUAAGAAAACUAGCUAAGUAUGAGCCUGAGCAAGCCAGCAAGCAGCAUCCGCCCUGGUUUCUGCUCCAAGUUCCUGCCAUGACUUCAUCGCCUGUGACCUGGAAAUGUAAGCCAAACAAACACUCUCCUCUGUGAGUUGCUUUUAAUCGGAGUAUUUUAUCUCAGCAACAGAAUGAACCAAGUGUGUAGACUCAACAUGUAGUCUGCGGAUGUGUAGAAACCCACAGAGGUUUCCUAGUGAGAACUUACUCAGGGUCCAAGGAUCUGAGCUUGCUUUACCCAGCAGGGCUGCAUAAGGGGAUGAUUGGACCACGGGCGUGGUUACCAGGUGUUUGGAAGGGUCUAUGCUUGGUUAUGCAGUGUGCUUUGAUCUAGCAAGGGAGAGGUCUUUUGCCCGGCCCCUUGGCAUUGAUAUAAAAAGUCCUUUUGAAGAGCCAGAAGGGACCGGUGGACUUUGAUCCAGGUCCUCCCAAAACUAUCCUGUGUUCCCGUCUUUCUUCUCUUUGCUAUCUUUCUAUAUAAAAGUUUCUUAUCCCUCUCUCCUCCUCAUAGGAACCCUUUUAAAAGGUGGGAUCUGGCCUCCCGCACUGAUGAGAAACGUGGGGAGCCUGGACAAGGCGGGCUUUAGGGCUUGAACGCCAAGUGUCCCUUCGAAGGCUCACGUGCUUGGCCUCAGCUGGUGGAUCCCAUCGCUGAGCUGUGGUUGGAUCUUGAGGGAUCAGCCUUCCUCAGUGAUAUGCUGGUGAUGCGAUAGCAUUGUUGGAAGCAAUGGAAAUCAGGAGGUGGGACAAAGUUGGAGGACGUGGGUGACUGCGGUUGUGUCUUUGAAGGGUAACUCUUGCCCCUGGCCCCUCCCGCCUCUCCUCUCUCCUCUUUCCCCUGUUGCUCCUUCUCACCUUCUUCCUCUUUCCCCUUCUCUUCUCCCCUCCCUGGCUCCCACGAGGCGAGCACCAUAGCUUCACCGUGCCCUUCAGACACACUUUUCUACUUCCCACAGUGGAGCCAGCCAUCUUGGACAGAAACUCCUGAAACCUUAAGCCAAACUAGACCUCCUCUCCUUCAGGGUGUCUGUCUCUGGUGUCGUUGCCAUAGUGACGAGGGGCACAGUGGAGUCCCAAAGCAUCAUGGGAGAGUAGCGUGUAUCCAAGGUUGAGAGGGGCCCCUCUGACAAGUGCCAUUAAGUCCUCUCAGGCCACCACUAGCUUGUUGAUUCAUUCCUCCUCCAGCCUUCUGGAUUCACUCACCCGCUGAUGCUGAUUCAGGACCUCCUGCCCGGCGCUGUCUCCCAUAGUACUCCCGGCUCCUGUCCUCCCGGCCCAGUUCCAUCUAGGCUGCCUGGCUUGCAUUCUCUGUGCUUCUCAGCAGCACUACGGUUUUUCACAGUCCCUUCAUGAUUCCCAUCCCAUAAUUACCCCCUUGCCUGCGGGGUGUUUACCCACCAACCCCACAGUUCCCCAGAGUUUUCUUGAGUGCAGGCAGCAGGAAAUAUUAGAUAGAAGGAUUUAGAUUGUGGAGAUAAACAGAAAAUACAGGAUAGCCUGGAACCUAAUCCAAUGGGCCCUGACUGUCUCUGCCCCAGGGUAUUUAUAGAAAUGCCAAGGGGUGGAGCAAAAGACCUUCUCCCCCAGCACAGCCAAGUGCAGACCAUUCAGACACCUGCACUCAGGCCCGUGGUCCUAAUCAUCCUCUCUAUUCGGACCUGCUGGGUAAAGCCACGAGGAACCUGAAAACAGGUUCCCACACUUGCCCUUUCAGUCCAUCACUGUACAUAUACAACUUCUCAAACAAACAUGUCACUCAAAUCCAAUACCUUCUGUGGUUAGUGUGUGUGUGUGUGUGUGUGUGUGUGUGUGUGUGUGUGUGUGUGUGUGCAUGUGUGUGCAUACAUGCUAUGCAGGCCACAUGCCUUCCUCAAUCACUUCUCCACUUUUUUUUACAUUUUAUAUUUUAAUCAUUAUUAUUAUUAUUAAUUUUUCUUAUCAUUCUUGAAUGUGUGCAUUAGGUUGGGAGUGUGUGUGUGUGUGUGUGUGUGUGUGUGUGUGUGUGUGUGUGAACCACAGCACGGGUGUGGAGGUCAGAGUACUCUCGGGAGUUGGUUCUCUCUUUCCACUGUGGGAUCUGGGCUUGAAUUUAGUCAUCAGACUAGUUAGUACAGCAAUGGCCUUGACCAGUGAGCCAUCUUGUCCGUCAGAGAGGGGCUGGAGCGCAGUGGGUCAGCUAGACUGGCUGGCCAGUGAGAAGCAUGACACUUUCUAUGAUGCCUGCCAAGGGCUUGGUGAGAGUUGCUCCCAAAGGGAUAAGGGUGGACUGAGAUCCGUGGGCAACAGUCAAGGUCUUCCUGUCUACACACUAGCAGUUAAGCAAGAUCCUGAAUGGAGGGGAAUAGCUUCAGGGAGAUGCUAAUGUGAAGGUGUCCUGUUGCUGGGGAUGUCUUUCUGUAAGCUGUGAAUAUGUGUUGCUCCCAUUGGCUAAUAAAUAAGGCUGUUUUGGCCUGUGGCAGGGCAGCUUACAGGCAGGUGAGAAACCCAAGCAGAGGUAUGGAGAGGAGAAAGAAGAGUAGGGAGAGAUGCCUAGCAGCUGCCACCCAGGGAGCAGCAAGAUGCCAGCAGACCAGUAAUGCCACGGCCACGUGGCAAAACAUAGAUUAAUAGAGAUGGGUUAAUUUAAGACGAAAGAGCUAGCUAGCAAGAAGCCUGCCAUAGGCCAUACAGUUUGUAAUUAAUAUUAAGCCUCUGAGUGAUUAUUUUAUAAGUGGCUGUGGGACCAUGGGGCCCAGUGGGACCAGAGAAACUUAUCACUACAUCCUGUGGCUUAGGAAGCUGAGGAUGCACAAACUAAACGCUUGUUCACCCUAAGCCAGAACAUGUUAGAGAUCUGCCUAGGUCAUCCCAUCAAAACAAGACACUGCUCCUAGGUAGCCAUGGGCCCAUUGUCACAGACAGAACACUGAGGCCCAUUGAGCCAUGUCUAAAGACCCAUAGGCAGUGAUGGGUAGAAAUGGGAUUCAUUCAUUCACGAUACUCUAAAGCUCUUUGUAUUCUUCUGCCAAGUGAAGUGAGUAUUUGUACAGAGGAAAGUGCUGAGCAGCAAUCUCACAGAGACGGGAAGCACGGUCCCUUCCCCUGCUGCCCACCCGUCAGUGGACAGAGUCUGGACUCCACGGCCUUUCAAACUCAUCAGCCAGUGAGUCUGUGAUGGUUAUAUCAUGACCUGACCACCCUGACUCCACCGCCAAAUCAGUGAGACAGCGUCUGGCAGAGUUGAUAAAUCACUACCCGAGAAAGUGAAGAUGCGGGCCAAGAGGCCGCAGGAAGGAAGAUCGUGCACGAAAAGAUGAGAGGGAUGGCCCUAAGGCAUCCAUCCUUCCUCUCCAGGCCUCAACAAACUCCCAGGUAUGGGAAAGCCAAAUUAAUCAAUGAUGAAUACAAGAAGACUUAUCUCUGUGGAACUAUCCUGUGUUCAUUUCCAAAGGCUCAGCUUAGAACACUGACCUCGGUGACCCCCCCUACAUGAUCUGAUGACUCUAACCUCUCUAGGAAUGUGGCUGGUCAUCAGGGGACUUACUAUAUCUUUUCCUUGGACUUCAUUGUUUCCUUCUUCCUGGAUACCAGGAAAUUUUGUGUACCUGCAGUGUGCCAAGCCAGCUGACCAGACAAGGUGGCUGUUAAGGCCCAGGCUCCUCUCUCAGAGCAACACCUGCCUCUGGAACAGCAGCUGCGGCAGGAGGGAGGUGCUCCA